GCAACGGUCUGGGCUUUCCACAAGGUUGUAUAUCAACUGCUGUCAAAACUGGAGCAUUGGGAUUAAACAUCAGAGUUACACGCCAAGUAAAUUCCAUUA